GCUUCUUCAACCGCCCGUAGAAUCCAAAAACAGAAAAAUAUCAAGGGCAUAGGCCCAGCAAGCAGCGAAGGCCCGAGUAUUCAAACGGUGGACAGUAUACCGUACUCGUACAAUAGCAUGGCUCCCUACAAAAGUACAAAGCGUCCACACUCUGUGCGAGCGAUAAUCUAUUCAUCAGGAGAUCUGAAAAAUCUUUCGAAACUUUCAAUAAGCAUAUACGUCGUGGGGGCAACAUGCACACUUGCAGUAUUUGAUGCUGAAUAUCUAUUUUCUAGCAAAUGGUUCGGCAUUAUUCGGGUUGGUGUAGCUUAAAUGGUACUCCUACUAAUGAUGACGUUAAUCAAAGCGAGUAAUAAUAUCAAUGACUAAUUUUCAUUUGGGACUAACUCGUGGCUAUUUCCGCACAACCAUAUGAUCAAGUUUCAACCCUGAAUGGGUUAUUUGCUGAAGAUAUUGGCGCUGCUGUGAGCGGCAUGGUCCUCCGAGGUCAGUCGGGCUACUUGCUGAAUUGCAGUGACCCCCUCGAGGCUCAACUUCUAGUGAUUAAGGAAGAUUUGAUGCUUGAUCUUCAAUGGAGUCAGCUCCCAAUGGCCAUUGAAACAUAUUGCCUUCAAGCUGUGAAUAUGCAGAAGAGAAGAAACUUGGACAGAUCUCGUUACUGCGUUAUUGUUCGUGAUAUUAGUUUGCUCAUGGAACAAUGAAAACCUUGUAUUACUCAUAUCCGUCGUGGGGGCAACAUGUACACUUGCAAUAUUUGAUGUUGAAUAUGUACUUUUUAAGCAAAUGGUUCGGCAUUAUUUGGGUUGGUGCAGCUUAAAUGGUACACUGAUACCCCCUCUGUAAACUAAAGUAGUGAUCUAAAAGAUCUUAUAUUAAUUUACAAAGGGGUUACUAAUGAUGAUGUUGACUGAUUUUCAUUUGGGACUAACUCGCGGCAAUUUUCGGACGACUAUACGAUCAAGUUUCAACACUGAAUGGGUCAUCUGCUGAAGAUAUUGUCGCUGCGGGGAGCGGCAUGGUCUAAGGUUCGACGCUUGAUCUUCAAUGGAGUCAGCUCCCAAUGGCCAUUGGAACAUUAUUGCCUACAAGUUGUGAAUAUGCUGAAGAAAAGGAAUUUGGCCAGAUCUCGUUAAUACUUUAUUGUUUGUGAGAUUAGUUUGCUUAUAUGGAACAAUGAAAAUCUUGUAUUACUCAUAUUCUUCGCACUCAGAAUGAUGUAAGCCAUUUUAUGGCAAAUUAUGGUAGAACCUCUGGGUGCACUGUUGUGUGGCUCGGAUCUGGCCCUGAAGACGCCAUCAGACUUUGUUAGAAUUAUGGUAGUUUUGCUACGAGAGUAAUACAAAUGUUAAAAAAAGUUUCAUCACUU